rnacentral:rRNA from 1 species
AGAACGAACGCUGGCGGCAUGCCUAAUACAUGCAAGUCGAACGAACACUUCGGUGUUAGUGGCGCACGGGUGCGUAACGCGUGGGAAUCUGCCCUUGGGUUCGGAAUAACAGUUGGAAACGACUGCUAAUACCGGAUGAUGACGAAAGUCCAAAGAUUUAUCGCCCAGGGAUGAGCCCGCGUAGGAUUAGCUAGUUGGUGAGGUAAGAGCUCACCAAGGCGACGAUCCUUAGCUGGUCUGAGAGGAUGAUCAGCCACACUGGGACUGAGACACGGCCCAGACUCCUACGGGAGGCAGCAGUGGGGAAUAUUGGACAAUGGGCGAAAGCCUGAUCCAGCAAUGCCGCGUGAGUGAUGAAGGCCUUAGGGUGUAAAGCUCUUUACCGGGAUGAUAAUGACAGUACCGGAGAAUAAGCUCCGGCUAACGUCCGCGCCAGCAGCCGC